AUGGGGCUGCUAGAUGGAAACGUUGUGUAUAGCCCCUGAGACCUGGCCAGUGCCAGUGUGUCAAAUCCAGUUUCAACUGGAUGAAGCCCUGGUAAACGCCGGCGGUAACUCUGACCGUCUUAUAGAGAGAGGUGGUCACCUGAGACAUUUUGUCUGUGACGACCACCGGCUGGACACAGGUAGCGUAAUCCCUUGCCGAUUAAUUGUCGGCCUGCAUCAACGGUUUAACGAGAUCUCCACUGUCCCGGGCUGAUACCUAGUGAAAUUAACGUCCUGUGCAUACUCAGGAGUCCCUCAGCGGGACGAGAAGACCCCGUAGAACUUUACUGUAGUCUGAUGUUGCGAUAUGAAAACCAUUGUAAAGCGUAGGUGGGAGCGUCGAACCCGGAGCGCCAGCUUCGGGGAAUGCGACCUUGUAACACCACCCUUUGGUUUUCAUAUUGCUUAUCUGGCGGAACAUCUGGAAACAGCAUCAGAUGGACAGUUUGACUGGGGCGGUACACCCUUGACAGGAAAGUUUGGCGCGGGCUAUGCCUGCGCCUUACCACUUGACAUCAAGGGUGCCCUAAGGUUUCCUCAUUCCGGUCAGAAAUCGGAAUUAGAGUGUAAGGGUAAAAGGAAGCCUGAUAGGACUCUACACAUCGAGGAGUCCUAACGCGAAAGCGCGGCCUAGCGAUCCGCAGUGCCUCAUUAAUUGGAGGCCUGCUCUGUCAGAAAAGCUACCUCGGGGAUAAUGGAGUCGUGGCGGGUGAAAGUCCACAUGCGAUUGACGACUUUCACCACAGAACAAGUCGUCUUUCCAGGUCAUAUUGACCUCGUACAUUGCUUCUCCGCCGUCGGCUCGGCUCUUCCUGCGCGUGCAGCAGCGUGCAAGGGUGGAGGUGUUCACUCAUCAAAGAGCCACGUUAGCUGGGUUAAGAACGGUGCGAGCCAGUUUGUUCUAUAUCUGCUGAGGGUGUUGAUUGCCUGAGGGGAAGAAUCAUUCAGUACGAAAGGAACAAUGAUUCGUGGCCUCUGGUGUACCGGUUGUAGAAAUGGCUUGACCGCUUAAAUCGAUUGGAUAAAGCGGUCUGUCACUGCAUUGCAUGCCGGGUAGCUACGCCAUCGUGAAUAAACGCUGAAAGCAUCUAAGCGUGAAGUCACCCCUAAAAAGAGGCAAUCAUUCUCCAGACUGGUAGGUAACUAUCGGCGCGGAGAGGAAGGUCCCGUAGACGACGGGGUUAUGGAACAG
rnacentral:rRNA from 1 species